AUACGGAGGAUCCGAGCGUUAUCCGGAUUUAUUGGGUUUAAAGGGUGCGCAGGCGGCCAUUUAAGUCAGCGGUUAAAUCGUGGGGCUCAACCCCAUUCUGCCGUUGAUACUGGGUGGCUUGACUGCGGUCGAGGUUGGCGGAAUUCGUUGUGUGGCGGUGAAAUGCAUAGAUAUGACGAAGAAUACCGAUUGCGUAGGCAGCUGACCAGACCGCAAAUGACGCUCAUGCACGAAAGUGCGGGGAUCGAACAGGAUUAGAUACCCUGGUAGUCCGCACAGUAAACGAUGAAUACUUGUUUUCGGCGAUAUAAUGUCGGAGGCAAAGCGAAAGCGAUAAGUAUUCCACCUGGGGAGUACGCCGGCAACGGUGAAACUCAAAGGAAUUGACGGGG
rnacentral:rRNA from 1 species